CCUGGGCUUGGUGGUGCAUGCCUGUAAUCCCAGCAUCUUGGGAGGCUGAGACAAGAGGAUUGCCAGUUCAAAGCCAGCCUCAGCAAUGGUAAGGUGCUAGGCAACUUAAUGAGAUCUUUUCUCAA
rnacentral:sRNA from 1 species